UCUCGAGUAGAGGGUCAAAGCAUAUUGGUCACGACCCUCCAUGAUGUCAAUGUGUACAUGAGGCUCACUGUAUGGAGCUGGGAAGACAGGGAAUGAAUCGUUCAUUAUAUUUAUCGUGACUAGAAGUCCACGUCAGGAUGCCGCUGCCCGGGAACAUACGGUCUGCACUCGGACUCGUUUCAGAGUUUAUCCGGAGCUUCAAACCAUGAAUCAUACCUGUUCUUACCUGGUGAAGGGACCCGCGGUCGCAGCUGCACGCUCGAGUCUGCCUGGAUCUCAUCAGAGGAGAGGACCAGGGGCGAGGGGGUGUGGUUUCAGCUGCUGUAAGUGGAGACAUUUUUCUCAUAUUCACAACAGCUGUCAUGUCUGACAAGCUCAGAGACACUCCCCUGGAUGUGCAUGAGAAUCGCCCCUAAUACCUCUUGGAGGAAAUUUGCUGCUCGUUUUUCUAUCUGUAAACACACACAAUAGGCUGGUGAAAUGUUCAGUACAUAUUGAAUUUGUUAAGACACAAUUCAUGCAAGAAGCCCUGAAAUCCAACUUGAAAUCACACCAGAAGCGCGUCACGUUAAGUCCUAUCACAGCAGAUUCUUGUCAAUUGCAGAGCCCGCCCCAGGUGUUCGUUUAAUGCAAUUAACCAGCACCGAGUUUAAUAUAUUUAAUUGUACACCUGAUAUAAUGGCAUGCAAUUGUGAAGUACAUUUCUUUUGAAAAUCUAUGUUCCUUAUUCUGGUUAAAUGCAUAACACCGUGAGGCACAUGGGAUAUGUAAUUCACUGGAAUCUACUGCAUGGGCAUUUUCAUAAGAAAUGUGCUUCUCUUAAUAGACGUGAACAGGAUGAUGCGAUUAUCAUGGAUGCAAUUCAUUGGAAUGCACUGUACUUGUGUAAUUCUUAAACCUCUAAAAUGAACCUACAGUGAUAUUAUAUUGCCAUGGCUACAAAAAAAUAAAACAAAUCUGUUAUAUAUAUAUUUAAUUUAGGCAGCACAGUCUCUGCGGGUCUGGGGGUCCUACCAGCUGCACAUGAAGUGGCAGUUAAAAGGAAAUCUAAAGUCUGGAGAAACUCUACAGAAAUCAGCGGUCGCAGCUGCAGUUAGGAUGAAAAGAGCGUGGCCGCGUUUAUCAGUAAAGGAAGGACGCACAGUAAAUCUUCACACAGAGAAAAAUAAAAUAAAACCUUCAGAUGAUCCUAAAAAAUUGCGUUAUUAUUUCAAAAAUAAAAUAAAUGAUCUCCUGCGCCAUGUACAUAAUUUUUCUUUAUCUUCGUAGUGCGUUGACAUCAGCCAAGUUUAGCCUUUUAAAUUAGUCCCAGCAGUGUCUGGAUUAUUAUUAUUUAUUUCUUAGCAGACGCCCUUAUCGAGGGCGACUUACAAUUGUUACAAGAUAUCACAUUAUUUUUUACAUACAGUUACCCUUUUAUACAGUUGGGUUUUUACUGGAGCAAUCUAGGUAAAGUACCUUGCUCAAGGGUACCGCAGAAGUGUCCCCCCCACCUGGGACUGAACCCACGACCCUCCGGUCAAGAAUCCCGAGCCCUAACCACUACUCCACACUGCUGCCCCAUUAGGUUAUAUACAAUUAUUUUAACUGCUUCGCGGGGUCAUUGAAAAAAAAUAAAAAUACAUUUCUAGAUUUUUCAAUCUGAAAAUCAGUUAACCCUAUGCCGUCUUCUUGAGACAGACAAUGUUGACUGUGACCCGAUUCAGUUUAGAUUACAAGAUACCAAGACGUUAUUUUAUUUCAUUUUUUUCAAUUUCAAAUAAGACGACUUUUAAUUGGAUAAUUACAGUGCAGGCCUACACCUCUUAUUUCAAUUUCAGUGAUCUUAUUGGGCAAAUUAUUUUAGCAAAUGUAUACAACGUUGUGGUAAGGUCGUGGUCUGGUAGUGAAAAACGCAACAUUGUCACAACGUAUAUAUAUUACUUGGUUUAAAUAAACGUUGUGACAAUAGUUAUUUUAUUACAUUUAUUUGUGUUUUCAGUUUUAUUAUUAUUGUAGUAUUCAAGCCUAUAGCUUAUUCUUGAAAAACAGAGCAUUAGUUUGGUUUACUAGCUUGAUUCUAAUUGGUCCUAAAGUGUUCCAAUGCACGCGCCUCGAGGAGCAUCAACGGAAGUUGCUCGCGCACCUGUCAGAGCUUAUUAGUGUGAAGGAGGGUAAGAGAGCGCGGAGAGAUCAUUUAUAAAUUGUUGUAUUUGUAUAGCUAUAUUUGUAGAAUUAAUUUCUUUAUAUAUAUUUAAUUUACAUAUGUGUUGUAUAUAUAUAUUUGUGUUUUUGUAUGUUUGUUUGUUUAAAUUUUUUAUAUAUUAGAGUAAGUUGUGCGUGUGAAACAGAACUCGGACUUGUAGCUGGAGGAGAUCGUCGAGAUCCUGAGGUAAGUUUAUUUGUCAUUUUUAUCAUUAAUGUAUUGUUAUCCAUAAAUGUUAUUAAAUAAAGCGAUUUGUCAUGGUUAAAUAAUUUUGAGGUAUUAACAAAAACUUGAUUCUGUUCUUAUUACUAUUUAAAAUGUAUUUAUAUCCUGUGUUUAACGUUUAAAUCACGAUUAUUAUUUAUUUCUUAGCAGACGCCCUUAUCCAGGGCGAUUUACAUUUGUUACAAGAUAUUACAUUAUUUUUACAUACAAUUCCCCAUUUAUACAGUUGGGUUUUUACUGGAGCAAUCUAGGUAAAGUACCUUGCUCAAGGGUUCAGCAGCAGUGUCCCCCACCUGGGAUUGAACCCACGACCCUCCGGUCAAGAGUCCAGAGCCCUAACCACUACUCCACACUGCUGCCCUGAUGUGGCUUUUCAUUUUAAAACAUAUAGGGCUGCUUUAGACUUCCAAGCCGCUUUCACGGGGUAGCUAUUGCAUUUAUACUAUCAGGAUCAUUUCACCCCCAGCAGUGUCCUUUGGAUAAAAGCAUGGUACUGGUUGGAAAGCAUGUCAGUCAGUAGGGGAAACAGCUGGUUGGUUAAUGACAGGAAAGAACCAUUGAAGGGGCGGGGACAGUUUCACUCUGCAGGUGAAAUGACCAAGCAAAGUGCAACUGAAAACAUGGCUUGCAAACAGAGAGGUUUUGACCUACUGUAGUACCAGAUAUAUAUAUAUAUAUAUAUAUAUAUAUAUAUAUAUAUAUAUAUAUAUAUAUAUAUAUAUAUAUAUAUACUGUAACAUUUUACAGAUUUUUUAUGAACAUUUUAUGAUUGUAGCUAAUAAAAUAAACCGUCCAGGAGAAAUUCUUAAGAAGCAAAGAAUUUACUCUCUGCUCUAUAUUUAAUCCCCGGUUUCUCCGUUCGGAUUUCUCAAGCUAGUGUUUUGAAAUCUUUCUAAACCCCAUGAUGAUGUUGCUAAAGAGACUGUGUGUGUGUGCGCGUGUGUGCAUGUGUUUUCUUCUCCUCCCUUUCUUGCAGUUGGUUUCACAGCCACUGGGUUCACCAAAGCAUGCACUCCAGGCUGCCAGCAGCUUUUCUCUGUCAACUUUGGAAAUCAACACACGGCUGUAGAUUCCAGGUGUUGUGAUUCGGACUUGUACAACAAUCUGUAUAUUCCAGGUAACAGUGAAAAGCAUAGUGGGGGUCUCUGAGGGUCUCCCCUGGUAAAGGCACGGCCUCGUGGUGUGCAGGGGGAGUCGCACAGUCAGUUCCUGUGGUUUACAUCAAGCUAUUUGGCACAGUAAUCAUGUUAAAGUGUACUUUGCUGUGUGUUCAUUUACGAAUAAUAACGUAUCCCUCUGAUUCUGCUUGGUUGAUUUUAAAGUGCUUGAAGACAGCGCCCCUAAUGGCCUGGAGUGCCAUGCCUGCACAGAGGGGGAGAGGGACUGCAACAGCACUGUGAAAUGCACUGGCAGUCAGAACCACUGCAUCACAAUCAAAGGGUCUGUUGGGAAGCAGGAGUGGCGGAUCAGGGGCUGUGCUUCUGGGAAUGUGUGUGUGAGCGCAGAGCACCCCGUGCUGAAGGACAGGGUCAGAGGCUCACCCCAGAGACGCAGCCUCCUCUCCUCGUUUCACAAACUCUGCACCCUGUUCUCAAAGGCGAAGUGUUUCUUCAACAGGGUUUUCUGAAAAUGUUCUGAAAGAUUUCUAAAUGACCCUUGCAAAAAAAAAUGUACCUUUUUUGUUGAGUAAUACUCAAAAGAAACGCAUUACAAUAAUUUGUCACCCCCCAUGUGAUUGUCUUCCUUGCCGAUGUGAUCUGCUGUUACAGAGAGU